UACGGAGGGUGCAAACGUUGCUCGGAAUCAUUGGGCGUAAAGCGCACGUAGGCGGACCGCUAAGUCGGAUGUGAAAGCCCUCGGCUUAACCGAGGAAGUGCAUUCGAAACUGACAGUCUUGAGUAUGGAAGAGGGUCGCGGAACUCCCGGUGUAGAGGUGAAAUUCGUAGAUAUCGGGAGGAACACCAGUGGCGAAGGCGGCGACCUGGGCCAAUACUGACGCUGAGGUGCGAAAGCGUGGGGAGCAAACAGG
rnacentral:rRNA from 1 species